ACUCCUAGCGGAGAGUGAAAUAGAACCUGAAACCGUGCGCUUACAAGCGGUCGGAGCUUUAAUUUAUUAGAGUGACGGCGUGCCUUUUGCAUAAUGAUCCAGCGAGUUGCUCGUAUGUUGCGAGGUUAAGAUAUAAAUAUCGGAGCCAUAGGGAAACCGAGUCUUAAUAGGGCGUUUAGUAGCAUGCGGCAGACCCGAAACCGAGUGAUCUAGCCAUGACCAGGUUGAAGGUGCGGUAACACGCACUGGAGGACCGAACCAGGGUACGUUGAAAAGUGCUUGGAUGAGUUGUGGCUAGGGGUGAAAGGCCAAUCAAACUCGGAGAUAUCUGGUUCUCGUCGAAAUGCCUUUAGGGGCAGCGUUGUAUUAGUGUUUCGGGGGUAGAGCACUGAAUGGGCUAGGGGGCCUACCAGCUUACCAAACCCUAUCAAACUCCGAAUACCGAAAACAUGAUGUACAGCAGUGAGGCUAUGGGUGAUAAGGUUCAUAGCCAAGAGGGAAACAACCCAGAUCAUCAGCUAAGGUCCCAAAAUCAUUACUAAGUGAUAAAGGAUGUGAAAUCGCCCAGACAGCUAGGAGGUUGGCUUAGAAGCAGCCAUCCUUUAAAGAAAGCGUAAUAGCUCACUAGUCAAGGGAUUUCGCGCCGAUAAUUUCCGGGACUAAGUAAUGUACCGAAGCUAUGGGAUUUAUUCGAUUUGAAUAAAUCGGUAGACGAGCGUUCUAUUAACCUGUGAAGGUCGAUUUGCGAAAGCGGCUGGAGGAGAUAGAAAUGAGUAUGCUGGAAUGAGUAGCGAUAAAGCCCGUGAAAUCCGGGCUCGCCGAAAACCUAAGGUUUCCUGAGUAAAGUUAAUCUGCUCAGGGUUAGUCGGACCCUAAGCCGAGGCCGAAAGGCGUAGGCGAUGGAAAACAGGUUUAAUAUUCCUGUACCAGUUUAAUAUUGUUUGAACUAAGGGGGGACGCAGAAGUGAAAGGAGAUCCCGGUUUUGAUUGUCCGGGUUUAAGAAUGUAGGAAGUUUUGGUAGGCAAAUCCGCCAGAACAAUUCUGAGAUUCGAAUAGGAGGGCCUAGCCCAUAAACUCUCCCUAAUCAGGCUGCCAAGAAAAUCCUCUAUGUUAGAUUUUAAACUGACCGUACUCCAAACGGACACACGUAGGUGAGGAGAGUAUCCUAAGGCGCUUGAGAGAAUCCAAGUAAAGGAACUCGGCAAAUUAGCCCCGUAACUUCGGGAGAAGGGGUGCCAUUUAAGGAGAUGAACUUUUCGUUCAAAUUUUUGAGUGGCCGCAGUGACCAGGCCCAAGCGACUGUUUACUAAAAACACAGGUCUCUGCUAAGUCGUAAGACGAUAUAUAGGGACUGACACCUGCCCGGUGCUGGAAGGUUAAAUGGAGAGGUUAGCUUAUGCGAAGCUUUGAAACGAAGCCCCAGUAAACGGCGGCCGUAACUAUAACGGUCCUAAGGUAGCGAAAUUCCUUGUCGGGUAAGUUCCGACCUGCACGAAUGGUGUAACGAUUUGGGCACUGUCUCUACUUGGAGCUCAGCGAAAUUGAAGUGUCGGUGAAGAUGCCGGCUACCCGCGGCCGGACGAAAAGACCCCGUGAACCUUUACUACAGCUUAACAUUGAAUUCUGAUUUUACACGUGCAGGAUAGGUGGGAGACUUUGAAGCAGGAACGUUAGUUCUUGUGGAGUCAACCUUGAGAUACCACCCUUGUAUUGUUAGUGUUCUAAUCCUAACCCGUGAAUCCGGGUGAGAGACAGUGUUUGGUGGGUAGUUUGACUGGGGCGGUCUCCUCCCAAAAAGUAACGGAGGAACCCAAAGGUUCCCUCAGCACGGUCGGUAAUCGUGCGUAGAGCGCAAAGGCAUAAGGGAGCUUGACUGUGAGGUCGACGGACCGAGCAGGUACGAAAGUAGGGCUUAGUGAUCUGGUGGUUCCGUAUGGAAGGGCCAUCACUCAAUGGAU
rnacentral:rRNA from 1 species